rnacentral:tRNA from 1 species
UCACUGGCAGUCCAGUGGUUAGGACUUGGUGUUUUCACUGCUGUGGCCUGGGUUCAAUCCCUGGUCAGGGAG